rnacentral:lncRNA from 1 species
UAGGUUCUCCUCCGGUUCCCAUGUUGCUUCGCAGUGUGGAAAUCCUUUCCACUUCACAUGGAACUCUCUCACCUCGCGUCCUUGUCGCUUGCUCUUGCGCGCAUUGAGGAUGGCCUCGACUUCGUAUUCCUCUUCCCCUUGGAUAACCUCAGGUAAAGGUCUCACUUGGUCCUUGCGAAGCGGAUCCUCAAAGUACGGCUUGAGUAAGUUCAUGUGGAACACUGGGUGCAUCUUCCCCAUCUCUCGAGGAAGUCGGAGUCGG